AGUGAACGCUGGCGGUAGGCCUAACACAUGCAAGUCGAACGGCAGCACAGUAAGAGCUUGCUCUUACGGGUGGCGAGUGGCGGACGGGUGAGGAAUACAUCGGAAUCUACUUUUUCGUGGGGGAUAACGUAGGGAAACUUACGCUAAUACCGCAUACGACCUACGGGUGAAAGCAGGGGAUCUUCGGACCUUGCGCGAUUGAAUGAGCCGAUGUCGGAUUAGCUAGUUGGCGGGGUAAAGGCCCACCAAGGCGACGAUCCGUAGCUGGUCUGAGAGGAUGAUAAGCAACACUGGAACUGAGACAGGGUCCAGACGCCUAAGGGAGGCAGCAGUGGGGAAUAUUAGACAAUGGGCGCAAGCCUGAUCCAGCCAUACCGCGUGGGUGAAGAAGGCGUUCGGGUUGUAAAGACCUUUUGUUGGGAAAGAAAAGCAGCAGGUUAAUACCCCGCUGUUCUGACGGUACCCAAAGAAUAAGCACCGGCUAACUUCGUG
rnacentral:rRNA from 1 species